rnacentral:rRNA from 1 species
AUUGAACGCUGGCGGCAUGCCUUACACAUGCAAGUCGAACGGCAGCACGGGGCAACCUGGUGGCGAGUGGCGAACGGGUGAGUAAUGCAUCGGAACGUACCUUUCAGUGGGGGAUAACGUAGCGAAAGUUACGCUAAUACCGCAUAUUCUGUGAGCAGGAAAGCAGGGGAUCGCAAGACCUUGCGCUGAUUGAGCGGCCGAUGUCAGAUUAGCUAGUUGGUGAGGUAAAGGCUCACCAAGGCGACGAUCUGUAGCGGGUCUGAGAGGAUGAUCCGCCACACUGGGACUGGGACACGGCCCAGACGCCUACGGGAGGCAGCAGUGGGGAAUUUUGGACAAUGGGGGCAACCCUGAUCCAGCCAUGCCGCGGGAGUGAAGAAGGCCUUCGGGUUGUAAAGCUCUUUCGGCCGGGAAGAAAUCGCACAGGCUAAUACCUUGUGUGGAUGACGGUACCGGAAUAAGAAGCACCGGCUAACUACGUGCCAGCAGCCGCCGUAACAC